UACGUAGGGCGCAAGCGUUAUCCGGAAUUACUGGGCGUAAAGAGCUCGUAGGUGGUUUGUCGCGUUGUUCGUGAAAUCUCACGGCUUAACUGUGAGCGUGCGGGCGAUACGGGCAGACUAGAGUACUGCAGGGGGAGACUGGAAUUCCUGGUGUAGCGGUGGAAUGCGCAGAUAUCAGGAGGAACACCGGUGGCGAAGGCGGCCUGCUGGGCUAUGGCUGACACUGAGGCGCGACAGCGUGGGGGAGCAAACAGG
rnacentral:rRNA from 1 species